UACGGAGGAUGCGAGCGUUAUCCGGAUUUAUUGGGUUUAAAGGGUGCGUAGGCGGGCCUUUAAGUCAGCGGUGAAAGUUCCCGGCUCAACCGGGUCAGUGCCGUUGAUACUGAAGGUCUUGAAUGCGGUCAAGGUAGGCGGAAUGUGAUGUGUAGCGGUGAAAUGCAUAGAUAUGUCACAGAACUCCGAUAGCGAAGGCAGCUUGCCGGGCCUGCAUUGACGCUGAGGCACGAAAGCGUGGGGAUCAAACAGG
rnacentral:rRNA from 1 species